rnacentral:rRNA from 1 species
ACGGAAGGCAGCAGUGAGGAAUAUUGGUCAAUGGGCGGAAGCCUGAACCAGCCAAGUCGCGUGAAGGAUGAAGGUAUUAUGUAUUGUAAACUUCUUUAGCCAGGGGGCAAUAAGGCGUACGCGUACGCCGAUGAGAGUACCUGGAGAAUAAGGAUCGGCUAACUCCGUGCCAGCAGCCGCGGUAAUACGGAGGAUCCGAGCGUUAUCCGGAUUUAUUGGGUUUAAAGGGUGCGCAGGCGGCUUUUUAAGUCAGUGGUUAAAUCGUGACGCUCAACGUCAUCACGCCAUUGAUACUGGAGAGCUUGAUUGCGGUCGAGGUUUGCGGAAUUCGUCGUGUAGCGGUGAAAUGCAUAGAUAUGACGAAGAACACCGAUUGCGUAGGCAGCUUACCAGGCCGUUAAUGACGCUCAUGCACGAAAGUGCGGGGAUCGAACAGGAUUAGAUACCCUGGUA